UACGUAGGGUGCAAGCGCUAAUCGGAAUUACUGGGCGUAAAGCGUGCGCAGGCGGUUUUGUAAGUCUGUCGGGAAAUCCCCGGACUCAACCUGGGAAUGGCGAUGGAGACUGCAAGGCUAGAGUUUGGCAGAGGGGGGUAGAAUUCCACGUGUAGCAGUGAAAUGCGUAGAUAUGUGGAGGAACACCGAUGGCGAAGGCAGCCCCCUGGGUUAGCACUGACGCUCAUGCACGAAAGCGUGGGGAGCAAACAGG
rnacentral:rRNA from 1 species